rnacentral:lncRNA from 1 species
AUGGACCUUCUGCUGUGGUGGCAACAACAGUGGGGCAGGAGCUGUGCGGAUGUGUGCCCCGCAGGGAGAUCCCUGCUCCCUUCAUCAGCACCCCCUCCUGAGAGGCCAGGAGAGGUAACGCUGCACACCCCAGGAGGGUACAAAAGGAGGCCGGGAGGGAGCAGCAGGGUCAGCAGGUUCAGACGCAGCCAGAGGCGAAGGAGGGAGCAGCAUCCCAGUGCCAGCAGCAUGACCAUCUUCUGCAGCCACUGCCACAGGCCGCUGCAGGCAGAGAUGAGCUGCCUGCCCAGGAGGGGCAAGGAGGUGCCCAGGGCCAACAAGCCAUUCAGGUCAACCAAGAGUGCCUCCAAGGCUCGCCGGGACCAGAUCAACGUGGAGCUGCAGGCACUGCGCUCCCUCCUGCCCAUCUCUGCACGGGAGAAGGAGCGGCUCUCCUACCUCCACACCAUGGCCCUGGUGUGCCUCCAGCUGCGGGGGGCUCAGCUUUUCCCCCCAGGUACCCACAGCACCACUGCACCCCACUUGAGCUUGGCUCUGUGUGGGGCACUGUUCCACACUCUGUGA